UUCGGGUAAAUGCUGCAUACUUGUUAUGUAGAGGAAAGUCCACGCUCGCACUUUUCUGAGAUGAAAGUAGUGUUUGUGCUUAGGGAAAAAAUAACCUAAGGCAGUUUAACUGACGGCGUUGUUUAUGUCUAAGGGAAACUAUGAUAUAAAUGACAUAAAGUGCCACAGAAACGAGUUUAUUUAGAAAUAAGUAAAAUGAAACGAGGUAAACCCCGCAAGCGAGAAACUCAAAUUUUGGUAGAGGAACUGUUUUUUUGAGAAAUGAAUCUUAAAACGGAUGAUUAGUCAUAGAUAAAUAUUUACCGCCCUUUAGGGUACAAAACGUGGCUUAUAG
rnacentral:RNase_P_RNA from 1 species